GAAGGUAUAGCUCAGUAGUAGAGUUUGCGCUUCACAUGCAGGAGGUCCUGGGUUCAAUCCCCAGUACCUCCG
rnacentral:tRNA from 1 species